rnacentral:rRNA from 1 species
UACGGAGGGGGCUAGCGUUGUUCGGAAUCACUGGGCGUAAAGCGUACGUAGGCGGCUAUUCAAGUCAGGGGUGAAAGCCUGGAGCUCAACUCCAGAACUGCCUUUGAAACUAGGUAGCUUGAACACGGGAGAGGUGAGUGGAAUUCCGAGUGUAGAGGUGAAAUUCGUAGAUAUUCGGAAGAACACCAGUGGCGAAGGCGGCUCACUGGACCGUUGUUGACGCUGAGGUACGAAAGCGUGGGGAGCAAACAGGAUUAGAUACCCUGGUAGUCCACGCCGUAAACGAUGAUAACUAGCUGUUGGGGCUCUUUGAGCUCCAGUGGCGCAGCUAACGCAUUAAGUUAUCCGCCUGGGGAGUACGGCCGCAAGGUUAAA